rnacentral:lncRNA from 1 species
UGAUCUCUUUAUAGUGUAUAAAUUUCAUGGUCUUAUAAUAAUGACUAAGUAGUUUUAUCUUUAAAAAAAAAAAAAACCUUCAAAGAAUUAUAGAAUCGUUAUCAAAUAUCUCUUAAAUAUAACAGUGUGUUAUGUUUGUCCUUCCAACCAACAUAAGAAGUAUGUUAUAUCAUAAAGUUAACAUUCAUAUGAAUAUUACUUAUUUAUCUAUUAAUAACUUUGUUCUUUAAAUAAACUAUAAAAAUAUCGUAAACUUUAGAGUUUUACCUAUAUUUUUAUCACUUUGCAUCUAAACAAUAGCAAAUGACUUGAUGUCUUUAUUGUGUAUAAAUUCAAUUGUCUUGUAAUAUUGACUAAAUAGUUUUUUCGUUUUUAAAAACCCUUCGUAAUAUUAUAGAAUGAUUAUUAAAUGUCUCUUGAGUAUAUCAGUGUGUUAUGUUUGUCCCUCCAGCCCACAUAAGAAGUAUGUCAUAUGGUAAACUUAACAGUCAUAUGACUAUUAUUUAUUUAUCUUUUAAUAACUUUGUCCUUCAAGUAAACUCUAAAAAUAUCGUAAACUUUAGAGUUUUAUCCAUACAUUUCUCUCUUUGCAUCUAAACAAUAGCAUAUGAUUUGAUCUCUUUAUAGUGUAUAAAUUCAUGGUCUUAUAAUAUUGACUAAAUUGUUUUAUCUUUCCUUAAAAACCUUUCAUAAAAUUAUAGAAUCAUUAUCAAAUGUCUCUUAAAUGUAUCAAUGUGUUAUAUAAACUAAAUAUAGUGAACAACUAGAUAUAUUUCUUUUUAGAAUCAUUAUCAAAUUCCAUGGUCUUAUAAUAUUGACUAAAUAUAUUUCUUAAUGUGUGUGAAAUGCUCAAAACAUCAUACAAUUUAGGAUGGAGAGAGUAUUUAUCAAUAUAAACGGAAAGACAAACACAUUAAUGUUCGUUCUGACCCUAGUGUUUAUUUUAAAUUGGCAACAUGGGUAUGGAAUACUUAUGUAGUAAACAACUAGAUCGUCGACAUGUGCGACACAUGGGUCUUAUGUUUUAUUAUAUAUCAUUAUAAAUUUUAAGAUAUACACAAGUGAAUGAGUGUUUAGAGAAACGAAUUGAAUCAUUAAUCAAUAAAAAAAACAGUCCCAAACAAAUGCCGAAUUGAAUCAUUGUAAAUUUUUUAUUAUCUUUUUCAACUCUUUACUUUAUA